rnacentral:rRNA from 1 species
GGUCCGCCUGCCCACUGACUAUAUGUUCAACGGCCGCGGUAUUUUAACCGUGCGAAGGUAGCGUAAUAACUUGUCUUUUAAAUGGGGACUAGUAUGAAUGGCAUCACGAGGGCUUAACUGUCUCCUUUUUUAGGUCAAUGAAAUUGAUCUUCCCGUGCAAAAGCGGGGAUACACACAUAAGACGAGAAGACCCUGUGGAGCUUAAGACAUGCACAGAUCACGUUAAGCACACCUUAAUAAGGAGCCAAACUAAAAGAACCCUGCUCGCACGUCUUGGGUUGGGGCGACCGCGGAGAAUAGACGAACCUCCCCUCCGUGUGGAACGAGGAUAUCUACCCCCCUUUUCUUUAUCCUAUCCUCUAAACUGAGAGUAACAACUCAAGGCAACAGAACUUUCUGACCUCUACGAUCCGGCACACAGCCGAUUAGCGGACCAAGUUACCCCAGGGAUAACAGCGCAAUCCCCUUUUAGAGCCCAUAUCGACAAGGGGGUUUACGACCUCGAUGUUGGAUCAGGACAUCCUAGCGGCGCAACUGUUGCUAAGGGUUCGUUUGUUCAACGAUUAAAGUCCUACGUGAUC